UACGAAGGGGGCUAGCGUUGUUCGGAUUUACUGGGCGUAAAGCGCACGUAGGCGGAUCGAUCAGUCAGGGGUGAAAUCCCAGAGCUCAACUCUGGAACUGCCUUUGAUACUGUCGAUCUGGAGUAUGGAAGAGGUGAGUGGAAUUCCUAGUGUAGAGGUGAAAUUCGUAGAUAUUAGGAAGAACACCAGUGGCGAAGGCGGCUCACUGGCCCGGUACUGACGCUCAUGUGCGAAAGCGUGGGGAGCAAACAGG
rnacentral:rRNA from 1 species